AUGUUCUUCAAGAAUCUUGGAAUAGAUUAAGAUAUUAUUAUGAUAAUAAAUAAUAAAAUUAUUUAAGAAUUCUUAAAAAAUAUUAUUCAUGAAAUGCUUCAAUAUAACUAGAGCUGUUAUCAAUCUAGAAGGCAUGAAAUUAUAUUCAAAAUAUCCAUAUCUUGUCUAAAAAAAGUUAUAUAUUUCUCAUUUUGUUCUGGGUUUUAAACCUUAAGUUGCGAGUUUAAUCAACUAGAUGGAACCAAAUCUUCUGAUACAUUUUUUCCAUAAGCCCAUGUAAUCCAUUGACCAAAGCAUCAUUCUAUUUGAUCUACAUCACCACCCC
rnacentral:lncRNA from 1 species